AUUGAACGCUGGCGGCAUGCUUUACACAUGCAAGUCGAACGGCAGCACGGGGGCAACCCUGGUGGCGAGUGGCGAACGGGUGAGGAAUACAUCGGAACGUGUCUUCAAGUGGGGGAUAACGCAUCGAAAGGUGUGCUAAUACCGCAUAAUCUCUGAGGAGAAAAGCAGGGGAUCGUAAGACCUUGCGCUUUUGGAGCGGCCGAUGUCUGAUUAGCUUGUUGGUGAGGUAAAGGCUUACCAAGGCUUCGAUCAGUAGCUGGUCUGAGAGGACGACCAGCCACACUGGGACUGAGACACGGCCCAG
rnacentral:rRNA from 1 species